rnacentral:rRNA from 1 species
AACGAACGCUGGCGGCAGGCUUAACACAUGCAAGUCGAACGCAUCCUUCGGGGUGAGUGGCAGACGGGUGAGUAACGCGUGGGAACGUGCCCUUCAGUUCGGGAUAACCCAGGGAAACUUGGGCUAAUACCGGAUACGUGCGAGAGCAGAAGGAUUUAUCGCUGAAGGAUCGGCCCGCGUCUGAUUAGCUAGUUGGUGGGGUAAUGGCCCACCAAGGCGACGAUCAGUAGCUGGUCUGAGAGGAUGAUCAGCCACAUUGGGACUGAGACACGGCCCAAACUCCUACGGGAGGCAGCAGUGGGGAAUAUUGGACAAUGGGCGCAAGCCUGAUCCAGCCAUGCGGCGUGAGUGAUGAAGGCCUUAGGGUUGUAAAGCUCUUUCGUCCGGGACGAUAAUGACGGUACCGGAAGAAGAAGCCCCGGCUAACUUCGUGCCAGCCGCCGCAGUAA